AUUGAACGCUGGCGGCAUGCUUUACACAUGCAAGUCGAACGGUAGAGGGGGCAACCCCUUGAGAGUGGCGAACGGGUGAGUAAUGCAUCGGAACGUGCCCAGUCGUGGGGGAUAACGCAGCGAAAGCUGUGCUAAUACCGCAUACGAUCUCUGGAUGAAAGCGGGGGACCGAAAGGCCUCGCGCGAUUGGAGCGGCCGAUGUCAGAUUAGGUAGUUGGUGGGGUAAAGGCUCACCAAGCCAACGAUCUGUAGCUGGUCUGAGAGGACGACCGGCCACACUGGGACUGAGACACGCCCCAGACUCAUACGGGAGGCAGCAGUGGGGAAUUUUGGACAAUGGGCGCAAGCCUGAUCCAGCAAUGCCGCGUGCAGGAAGAAGGCCUUCGGGUUGUAAACUGCUUUUGUACGGAACGAAAAGGUCUGGGUUAAUACCCUGGGCACAUGACGGUACCGUAAGAAUAAGCACCGGCUAACUACGUGCCAGCAGCCGCCGUAA
rnacentral:rRNA from 1 species